rnacentral:misc_RNA from 1 species
AGGGUGUUGGUGCCUUUUACAAGGUAUGCUUCUUCUAGUUAAGUGAAUUUUGAAAUUUGAUGUUAUCAACUUUUGGUCUACUUGAAUGAUGAAAUUAGAUUUUGUCGUUUUAAGAUCUAUUUGUUAAAAGCCUAUAUUUAUAUCAAUGCUCGAUUUGGGUAUGUGUAUGUUUCAUGUGGAAAGUUCAAGGUUGCCAAUCAUAACGCUUUAGAAUGGGCACAAUUUGGGUCCUUCAUUGCCAAAUUGAAAUGUGUCAUAUAAACCAGGUCUAAUUGUUGAAUCUCAAACCUUUUCUAUCUGUUGGUACAAUGGGGGCUUCUAAAUAAUCAUCUGUUUAAGAAUAGAUAUGCAAAUUGCUUGUCUUGGAAUAGAUUAGUUGGAACUGAGCCAAUGAAAAUUUUAUGGCUUUUCAAUUUGAGAUGUGACCUGUUGUUCUAACUGAGGAUUUUGGACUUGCAUUACAUCUGUAUUGUGUCUAAAUGACAAUAUUUUGAUCAGGGGUUAUCUGCUGGACUACUCA